UGGGGAAUAUUGCACAAUGGGCGCAAGCCUGAUGCAGCCAUGCCGCGUGUAUGAAGAAGGCCUUCGGGUUGUAAAGUACUUUCAGCGGGGAGGAAGGGAGUAAAGUUAAUACUUUUGCUCAUUGACGUUACCCGCAGAAGAAGCACCGGCUAACUCCGUGCCAGCAGCCGCGGUAAUACGGAGGGUGCAAGCGUUAAUCGGAAUUACUGGGCGUAAAGCGCACGCAGGCGGUUGAUUGAGUCAGAUGUGAAAUCCCCGGGCUUAACCCGGGAAUUGCAUCUGAUACUGGUCAGCUAGAGUCUUGUAGAGGGGGGUAGAAUUCCAUGUGUAGCGGUGCAAUGCGUAGAGAUGUGGAGGAAUACCGGUGGCGGAGGCGGCCCCCUGGACAAAGGCUGACGCUCAGGUGCGAAAGCGUGGGGAGCAAACAGG
rnacentral:rRNA from 1 species